AAUUUCAGAAUUUUUGGUUUAGCCAAUUAGUACAGUUUAUUCCUCAAAGUUACCCCUGGUCUUCUAUUUAACAGCUUCGACUUUCUUUACUAAAAUUUAAUUAUCUCAUAGCACAGGACUCGAGUGAUGUUCCCGUUUAUUUAUCUUGAAAAUAGACUCAUUAAGGAUUCUAAGAAUAUAAAUUAUAGCCCAUAAUUAUUUUUAUACAAUUUUUAAUGAUUUUCCCAAUUUAGAAUAGGGAAUUCCGAAAUCAAUCUGACAUUGUCUCAUAAAAAUUCAAAUUCAUACCAAAUUAUUCAAAUCCUAUUUUAUGCCAUAACCAAACCUAAAAUUUAUUUAUUUCAUCCUUACAUUUAAAAUUUUAAAAUGACACACACAUAAGACAUCCUAGGUACAUGCCAUUACCCAUAAUUAACACACUUUACCUCAUUGAAUUUGGGAUCGGCCUGGGAUACUGAUUCAACGUUCUAUCUUUACUUAACCUGCGCACGGAAACAAACGUACGCUGAGUAUGGUAUACUCAGUGGUAUUUCCAUAAUCCGAACACUUAAUAACAUAACAAUUAAACUUAAAGUAACAAUAACAAUUAUAAGUAUUCAUUUAUUUAUUUUAUAGAUGAAUUUCAUUUACUUACCGUAUAAAUUCUAUACAAUAUAUUCACAAUUCACUUGUAUUCACACUUUACUUCUUAACAAUAUACCAUUUUAAUUCAUUCUAACAUCAAUCAUCAUCCAUUUGAACUUCACUCAUUUCAUGAACCUUUUGGUUCAUGUUUUCAAUCUCAUAUCUCAAUUUCAAUUCUCAAUUCAAUAUCUCAUUUCAUUCUAAUAGCUCAAUCAAUCAAAUUCACUCGAUUUAUCUUUUCACUUAUUUACCCCUAUUAACAAGACUCGGACUCUGAUAGAUACGCGGAUUCCUCCCAAACACACCAGAAUAUCCAACCCAAACACACCCGGAAUAUUAUAAAUCCUUCAUAACACACCAGUAUAUCAUAUCCUCCCAAACACACCAAUAAUGCAUUAAAUGCCUCUUCGGAUAAACCGAAGUAUAUAAUAACAGAAACAUCUUCUCGGCCGAACUACAAAUCUCCUCAUCACAUCACAAACCCAAUGGCAUGCCAUUUGUAUCCAAUCUGGUCCAAUACUGUUAAUAAGGUAUUUGAUUCACUUUCUCAAUUUAAUGAAUCUUUCAUCAAUAUACCAUUCUAAUAAUCACAUAUAUUCACACAUUUUCACAAUUUCAUACAUUUUCAUUCAAUUCAACAAAUAUAUUUCAAUUAUUCACAUUAAUUCAUAAUCCAAUACAAUUCAAUUCACUUUUCAAUAUCAAAUAUUCAAUUAUCACAAAUCUCAUAUAUUCAUAUCAAUUCCCUCAUAUUUCCAAUCAAUAUAAUUUUUCAAUAUAACAUUCAUUCAAUAUUCAAAUUUUUACAUAGAUCAUAUAUAUAUAUUAUAAUUUCAAUCAAUAUAAAUUCAAUCAAAAUGAUUUCAAUCAAUAUAAAUUUGAUAAAUUCAUCACAUACCAAAAUCAAUCCAUUUCAAUUGUAAAACAUCAUAAUUCUAACACUAACAAUUGUCAUAUGUAUAUAAAUAUAACAAAUAAUGACUGAGUUCGGAUUAUAGAAAUACAAACCGUAUUUUUCGAGCUUUUCCAAGCUUUUCCUCGUCGACUUUGCUAUUUCCUUACUUAGCCGAAACUUCUCGAGACAACGUUAGCUACGGAAAUUAAAACAAUUUAUAUUCAUUAAUUCACUACUAAUUUAUAUCUAAUUAAUUGAAUUUUCUAUUCAAUUUUCUACUUUAAUUUCAAUUUAAUCUUAACUAAUUUUCAAUUACGUUUCUAAUUCAAUUCACAUUCUAUUUCUAUUCAAAUUUCAUCCAUACUCUCAUUUAAAUAUUAAAUUUCCAGCAUAUUUUCCUAAUUUCAAAAUUUCAUCAAUUUAGUUCCUACAACAUAAAACUUAUAACUUACUUUACAAUUUGAUCCUAUUAUCAAUUCUAACUUGAAAUUCACUUAAUUAAACCCUUAAUUCACUAUUUUAUUCAACAUGAACUAUACUUGAAAAACUAUAAACUCUCAAAAUAUCAACUUAAUUUCAAUAAAACCUUGUUUUAAAGCUUCUAAAACAUCAAAUUUAAGAGGAAAUGACUUAAUUGACUUACCAAAUUAAACUUCAAGCAUCAAACCUUAUAUUUUCCCCUUUUUUCUUUCUUUUCUUUCUUUCCUUCCUUCCCUCUCUGUUUCGUUUCUACUAUUCUGUUU
rnacentral:lncRNA from 1 species